rnacentral:rRNA from 1 species
AUUGAACGCUGGCGGCAGGCCUAACACAUGCAAGUCGAGCGGAGCGGCGGACGGGUGAGUAAUGCCUAGGAAUCUGCCUGGUAGUGUGGGAUAACGUCCUGAAACGGGCGCUAAUACCCCAUACUAUCCGAUUAGCCUAGGUCGGAUUAGCUAGUUGGUGGGGUAAAGGCCUACCAAGGCAACGAUCCGUAACUGGUCUGAGCGGAUGAUCAGUCACACUGGAACAGAGGCACGAGCCAGACUCCUACGGGAGGCAGCAGUGGGGAAUAUUGGACAAUGGGCGAAAGCCUGAUCCAGCCAUGCCGCGUGUGUGAAGAAGGUCUUCGGAUUGUAAAGCACUUUAAGUUGGGAGGCGUUACCAACAGAAUAAGCACCGGCUAACUUCGUGCCAGCAGCCGCGGUAAUAC